AUUCUAAUGAAUUAACAAUGAUUUAAAAGGUUUGAACAUGUGUAUAAAGUAUUCCAAUGUAUUGCGAUUAUGCUUAUGGUUACUCAUGAGGGAGUGCGAUGGCACUCAACUUCUAAAGAGUCUGGCCAUCAUCACCAGCUUUCUACAGACGACUGCUCCAUAAUCGUCAUACAACAGCAGGAGUUUGGUUCUCUAUGGUGUAGUAGCAGUGGAUCCAGAUGGUGAUGAGAAUGGAAUGGGGAAUAAUAAUUCUAUUGUAUUUAUGGAGUCCAUGGUGAAGAUUCUAUAACCGUAGAUUUCGGAUGAUGACUAGGCGCCAAAAAGCUGAUGAACGACAAAUAGCUCGAUAAACUUCUUACAUACUCCUAAACAAAACAAUGAUGCUAGGGAUCAUGUAGAUUAGCCUGAACCACAUAAGGCUUUUGAAAAUCUACAAAUUCAUCUAUUCGAGUAAGAUCUAAACUUGGACAUGGACAAAACCCUACAUUCAUGGAACCAUUCAGAACCAUGUCCGUCGAGGAUAACGACUUCACAUAAGCAAGAGUGGAGCGCAAUGAAGGCCAUACGUUUUUAUUGGAGCGCAAUGAUAGCCACACGUUUACAGUACACCAAAAUCAGUGGCUGUGACGGAAAUCAAUGGGAUCAUAGUGUGGCUUAUUGUGAUUCCUCUCAAUAACCUAUUACUCUUCAAUUCUGGUAAUUUAACUGGUGUCGCCAAUAAUUGCAGCACAUUUCAUCAAUUGCCCACUUUACCUCUUCGAUUUAAAUUUGCUUGGAUCCAGUCCUCUUAACUCCUCCAGUUCCUGAAUAUACUACAUCCAAAUCAUAACCGGCUUUGAUUGAGUUCAGCAGAGGCUUUC